GGCACUGUAGCUUAGUGGUUAAGGCGGCUGUCUUGUGAACAGGAGAUCCUGGGUUUGAUUCCCAGCAGCGCCU